AAAAUUGUUGGAGGGUUUUGUGGAUAGUCAAGCUUCUAUUUUCGCGGAGGAGGAUCUAAAUCAGUUAAAGGCAGCUCUUUCUGAAGCAAGACAAAUGAUUAAUUUGCUUUUGAGCAGUCAUCCAGAGAGUUUCCUGAAUGCAGUUAUUCGAGAGAGAAGUUACUACAGUCUGGACCACAAGAAAGUUGUCACAAUAUCUGAGAAGCUAAAAGAUUCUUCGGAUCGGUUAUUCGGAACCUUUGGAAGUCAGACAAUGAAGCAGAAUCCAAAAAAGAAGUCACUGGAUACUUUGAUAAAAAGACUCAGGGACGUGAGCUAAUUGAGAUAAGCAUUUCAUGCUCUGUUUUUCCUAUUUGUUUCUCUUUCUGCUGCUGAUUGAAAUAGCAGUUAUAUCUCUUAUUGGUUCAUUCCUAACUUUGUUUCCUUUGUCUCCCAAUUGUUGUCUUCUGUUUGAUUAGAGAUGUGCACAUUUUUUGUAUAUUAUCACAUUUAUGUAGUUGUUUCAUACUUGUUUAUCUUUGGAAAGUAUCAGCAGCAUUUCAUCCAUGGAGACUCGGACUUGGAAACCUGGUUGUGGUGAUAGUCUUAUGUGCUGAAAACUGGCCGCAUCGGAGACUGAUGAUCAGAACUGAACCAAGUCCGUGUUUUGUGGAUUACUCAUAGACAUAAGGUUUAGAUGGGCUUCCUUCCAUAAAAUCAUUGAUUGAUUUCACAGUCAAUACCGCUUACAACUGUAGUAGGUCCACAGAGUCUUUGGAUCAAAUCAGAAGCGGAGUUAACUUCUCAACUCCAACUCCUUGAGCCAAACCGGUGUAUCAAAUGGAUCUCAGAACUUCUAGGUUUGUGGCUAUUGUCGUAGUUCCCAUUUUAAA